rnacentral:lncRNA from 1 species
UAAGAACGCACACUCUGCUUCUGCGGCCCAGGGUUUCGCCGGUUCGGAUCCUGGGCGCGGACAUGGCACCGCUCAUCAGGCCAUGCUGAGGCGGCGUCCCACAUAGCACAAGCAGAAGUACCUAUAAGUAGAGUAUACAACUAUGUGCUGGGGGACUUUGGGGGGAAGAAGGGAAAAAAAAGUGGUUCCUGCCCCUGAUGUGCUCACAGUUUGGGGGAAAGCAGACAAGAACUGUCAGGACCCCAGCAGGGGCUGUCAUGGUGUUGUGUUCAAGGUUCUGGAGACGAACAGGAGCUUCCACCCAGGUCUCUAUGGGAGGAGGAGUCUCCGUGGAGCCUUCGGAGUUCACCGGGUCCCCAGGAGCUGGUGCAGGGGACGCCUGUGUCAGGCAGAGAGAUGCAAGGGGAGCAGUGGGCAGGUCUGGGCGCGAGGCCGGCUGAGUUGGAGAUGCCUGUGGGAUUCAAGCUCUCGCUGGGGAGCCUGGGGCUUGGGAGAGAGAGGUCUAGAGGACGUGCAGUUUCUAGAGCAGACUCGUGGAAUGGACUCGGAAACUUCCGGAAGGUCAUCUUUCAUUAUGAGCUGGUGAUCCUGAGUCUAUGGCUUCAGGUUGCUUGCCAGGUCGCCCGACUAAGGACAGCCGAAGGUGUUCCUGACUGAAGGAUGCAGGAAGCACGCCUGUCACAGAGGGAAGGCCAGAAGUGAUUUCAAAAGUUUUUAACAGCCAAAACAGCACAGAUGGUGACAAGCUCCGGCACUGACCAGUGAGAGUGGACGUGAGCUGCGAACCUACUAGUUUGGCCAGACCAGCUGCUUCCUGGGAAUUUCAGCCUGCUCAUUAAAG